UUUGAUAUGACUUGAUCUACUUCAUAAUGAUCUAUUAGAUCGGAUUGAAUUAUCUGUUUAAUAAAUAGAUUGAAUUUAGAUCUAAAUUUUUGACAUAUUUAAUAUAACAAAUUUUUGAUCCAAUUUACAUUCAAUCCAAUCAAUAUCCGACCCAACCUAACUUGAUUGCCACCUCUAAAUUAAAUCUAAGUCAUAUUACCAAGAAAUUGACUUAAAGCUGAUCCAAUCCCUUUCAUGUUAAAUUUAAUCAUCUUUAAUUUUAAUUUUACCAAUUUGUUCAAUUUUUAGUCAAACUAGGUCAACAACAAUCCAAAUAUAAAUCAUAAUAAACAUAUAAAUUGAUUAUCUAAUUAUAUCAUAAAUAUAUUGUGGAAGAUAAAUAACAAGCAAUGUGUAAAAAUUAUACAAAUAUAUUAUACAUAGAAUUUGACUGAUAAGCAUGCAUGAUUAUGAUCACUAAAAUAUUAUUGGCAAAUUAUAUUAUGAGAAAAACACUAAUUACUUAUACUUUAUGAGGG
rnacentral:lncRNA from 1 species